CCUACGGGAGGCAGCAGUGGGGAAUAUUGGGCAAUGGGCGAAAGCCUGACCCAGCAACGCCGCGUGAAGGAAGAAGGCUUUCGGGUUGUAAACUUCUUUUGACAGGGAAGAGCAGAAGACGGUACCUGUCGAAUAAGCCACGGCUAACUACGUGCCAGCAGCCGCGGUAAUACGUAGGUGGCAAGCGUUGUCCGGAUUUACUGGGUGUAAAGGGCGUGUAGCCGGGCUGACAAGUCAGAUGUGAAAUCCGGGGGCUCAACCCCCGAACUGCAUUUGAAACUGUUGGUCUUGAGUAUCGGAGAGGCAGGCGGAAUUCCUAGUGUAGCGGUGAAAUGCGUAGAUAUUAGGAGGAACACCAGUGGCGAAGGCGGCCUGCUGGACGACAACUGACGGUGAGGCGCGAAAGCGUGGGGAGCAAACAGGAUUAGAUACCCCAGUAGUC
rnacentral:rRNA from 1 species